CCUACGGUGGGCUGCAGUGGGGAAUAUUGCACAAUGGGCGAAACCCUGAUGCAGCGACGCCGCGUGAGUGAAGAAGUAUCUCGGUACGUAAAGCUCUAUCAGCAGGGAAGAAAAUGACGGUACCUGACUAAGAAGCCCCGGCUAACUACGUUCCAGCAGCCGCGGGAAUACGUAGGGGGCAAGCGUUAUCCGGAUUUACUGGGUGUAAAGGGAGUGUAGACGGCAGCACAAGUCUGGAGUGAAAUCCCGGGGCUUAACCCCGGAACUGCUUUGGAAACUGUGCGGCUGGAGUGCAGGAGGGGUAAGCGGAAUUCCUAGUGUAGCGGUGAAAUGCGUAGAUAUUAGGAGGAACCCCGGUGGCGAAGGCGGCUUACUGGACUGUAACUGACGUUGAGGCUCGAAAGCAUGGGGAGCAAACAGGAUUAGAUACCCUUGUAGUC
rnacentral:rRNA from 1 species